UGGCAAGAUGGCCGAGUGGUCUAAGGCGUUACGUUUAGGCAUGCCAGAAAUGGUAUUACCACCGUAAUCUUCACGGGCGUGGGUUCGAAUCCCACUCUUGUCAU
rnacentral:tRNA from 1 species